UGAAGGGAGUGAAGCGGAGGCCCUGCUGGAGGCAAAGGUCAGCGCGGCCUGAUUAGCCUCCCACGGUGACUUGGGAGGUGACUCGGGAAUCCGGGCCCUCUUCUACCUGUGGCGCCGUCCAGCCCUGGUCCCCCAGGCUGUGGCUGCAGCCAGUGCGUGUAAAUGGAAGAACCCCGUGAUGAUUUUUCCUUGGGGGAGAUAAACCCAUGGAUGGGGUCUGGAGCCACAGGGACGGAUUCAAGGAGAUUCAAAACCCGUGUCACUGCUGCCAUCUUCCUAGAAUCCCUUUAAAUCCUCAUGGAUUUGCUGACAUUGGGAGCAUCCUGAAAGAGUCCCCAUGCUAGGGUGGCUGCAGUAACAGGUACAAUGAGAAAUGAUGGUUCUCCCCACUCCAGAAAAAAUCAAAUCAGAUUGUGAAUUUAUUCCCUGACAUUAACACACGGCAUUACAGGAGCAUGUACAUCACAUGGUCAAUUUAUUGGCAUGAGGAUUAUGUCAUCGGGGAAUAAAUGGGAAAUUCUCAAGGUGGCCCAGGCCUGUAGGCUUCCAGUGAGAAAACUGGAGACCACACUCACCCGUCCCACUGCCGUUUCUUUGGGGCUGCCUGUGAUACUGGGUUAUUCCCCUUGCCGAGUUCCACUGUGCUUACCCUGUUGGAAUAUGAUGGUGGACUUGCCAGAGGAGAUGACCAUGAUUUUCAGGAACAGCAGCCCCUCCUUCCUGGUUGAGGCAGCCAGCAGGCACUCCUAUCCAUGAGCCACAGCUCAGCUAAGGCAAUCCAGUCCAGCUGCAUGCCCUCUCUCUGCUUCUGGGGAGGUAGGAAGGACCAGGGGCAUUCAUGCUUGUUUCUAGGGGGCCCUAACUGGAUCUCUGGAUCAAGACCUACUCAGGGGAGAAAGACUACUCUGGGUUCCAUGUUAGGACUGACGGGUGCAUCUUAACUGAGAUGCAGACAGUGGACAAUUCGAACUCUGACCUGAGAGCAAGCCCCAGCCUUGGUGCUCAUAAAUGCUCCGCUUGGUCCUUCACAUUUGUGUUCCACACAGGAGAAGCCAAGUUGUGAGCAGUGCACCUUCACAAGCAAAGCCUCGACUGAAAUCUUCUCUAACAAUUGGCUGGUCACUCCUGAGCGUAAUCUACCCCUUCAGAACACUGGGGAUGAAUUUAGAGACAUCGAAGCCUCCUGAUGAGAAAUACGUGUCCACUCACCGGGAGAACUGAAAUACCAGGAGAUUUCUACACAAAUCUCACAGAGUCCUUCUGGCGUCCUAGGGGUUUGCUCACAUAUAAGGGACUUUCUGGUAGGAAGAGAGUCUCUUUACAUUCUUUAUUAUAUGAUCCUGGUGGCUUUGUAGAGAGAUGGUACAGCUGACAGAUCAUGUCCUGUGGGGCCAGGGAGUUGUGUGUGUGUGAAUGCUCUGUGAACUUGGGCAAACUACUUAGCCUCUCUGAGCCUUAGCUGCAUCAGCUUUGAAAAACAGGAUGAUAAAAUGGAGUCACCUUAUUUGACUUUUAUAAAUACACUUACACAAUUACACAAGUUGUGGGGAUGGGAAGAGAGAGUUGGGGAAAGAGAAAUGAGAGAGAGAGAGAGAGAGAAUGAAUGAUAAACAAUUUAAACAACAGUGGGGUGUAGACCAACGCCCAGCCUGGCAAGGGUGAGCCCAGAGAGCCUUCCCUCCUGGCUAUUGGCAGCCUCCGCAUGGAAGCCUGUCGUUGACUUCUUAAUGAUGAGAGAUGUUCUGGGGGCACUCCAGGAUUCUUGGACAUGGGAUCGUCUUCACAGCUGUGUCUAUUGAAAGCUGAAGUUUCAGUCUCCCCUGCCCCCUGCCCCCUGGAGUGGCUUCCCAGGGGAAAUUCAAGGGCACCUGUGACUGCAUGGCUGCUUUCCUUUCCUUUACUCAAUGCCGUCCUUUGGUGACAGCCGUGUCUCAUGCCAGGAUACAUGAGGUGCUCUAUAGUAGUAUGUUUUCCCUCCUGGGAGGUAAUUUUAUUUAAAUGUGAAGUCAAAAGGAUCACUAAAUAGAACCAUGAGGCAACCACUCUGGGCACCUGCCUGGUGAUAUCCACAAGAGCUGACCACAGGUGCCCCCUGUGCCCAGCAAGUCCUUGGCUGGGCAGUCACACAACAGGCAUGGGGAUGUGUGGCCACCAAGCCCUCCAGGGCAGUGCUAUUUGUAAUAGUCCCAAAUGGGAGAGAUGGCAAACGCCCGCCAAUGGGGCAGCAUGGAUAAAUGGAUGCUGCACAGCAACGGCGAUGAGUGAGCCCCAGCACCCGUGAGCUCACCAGUGUAAUAUUGGGUGGAAGAAGCCAGGAGGAAGGGCAUUCACAUUCUGUGAUUCCAGCUACACUAUGUUUAAAUAUGGGCAGAGCUAGGCUGUGGUGCUGGAAGCCAGGACAGUGGGAUCCUUGCAUGGGGGUGAUGGUGCUGGUAGGUUCUGGUAAUUUCCUCUUCUUGAUCUGGGUGUAAACAUUUUGUGAAAAUUCAAUGAGCUGUACAUUUAUGACUGGUACAUUUAUGACUUUGUAUGAAUAUUAUACUUUCAUAAAACUACUUU
rnacentral:lncRNA from 10 species